UCAGCUUCACAAUUUCUAUCCAUGGCCACACUCUGUAGCUACUCCCUCCACAGCCCUCCUUCUUCGUCUUAUUCUCUUCCUCCUUCUUCUUCACAUUCAACAUCCAUAAUUCACUUUUCUCCAUGUUCACUCGCCGCACAGGAAGUCCCAGCAAAAUCUGAAACUCACAGAUUGUCCAAUUGUAGUUUAAUGCCCACUGUGUGUCAACCGACAAGGCUCUUUCUCCACCCCAUUCUCUUAUUCAGUGGCUUCGAAAGGCCUUUGGAUACCCAGAAUUUUCUUGCUGCUGUUAGUGUUUUGGCCGCCAUUGCCCUUUCACUAUUCCUUGGUUUUAAGGGAUUUUGCAGGGAGAUCCCGUCCCUUGUGAUAGGUGCGCUGGGAAUGGUGGCACAAAAUGUGUUUUUUGUAACAAUGGUAAGAUGAAGCAAGAAAUGGGAUUGGUCGAUUGUAAGGUGUGCAAGGGUGCAGGUAUUGCUUUCUGAUUUACACAUUCCUAGAAAAAAAAGAAAAAAACUAUAAAGCAUCCUGGACAUUAAGGAUUGAUUAAACAGUUGCUACUAUAAAGCAUCGUGGACAGUAAGGGUUGUUUUUUUAGCACUUGUUAUUUUUUUCCCUGACUUGUUCAAAGUAAUAUCUUAUUAGGUUUUCUUAUGAAUUCUAUCAUCCUCAUUUUAUAUUAUCACACUGGUAAAUAUGAAUGAUCUAUAUGUUUGUCGACUUUGUUCACAUGCUUUUAAAAAAGCAAUAGAAUUAUUUCCAUUUUGAUUUUAAGUGCAAAUAUCUCCUAUAAAAAUUACCUUUUUUUUUCACCGCUGACUAUUGCAAGUUAUCUUGAGUGGUUGUAUAUAGUUGUAAUACAGACCUUACUUAGUAUUUAUUACUUAAUUCUUGUCUAUAAUUUCCUGAUCAUUUAAUAAAUUAUGCAAUGCUUAGGAUUGAUAUUCUGCAAGAAGUGUGGAGGUUCUGGAUAUUCUAGACGUUUAUGAGGUGCAGGCGAAAAAAUCACUUUCGGUCUAUUGAUCCCCUAUGUUUUCCAAUAUGUCAUUCUCCCAGGUAUAUAUAUUGUAAUGCCGGCCGUGGAAUGGAGAAGUUGAGAAUUGAUGAGCUUACUUAUUAUGUCAAUAAUGCCAGCAGUAGUACUAGAUGCCUCACGGUAUGUAUGCGGCAACAUGGAGUAUCUUGAUCUGAUCUGAUCUGAUCUCCAAUUAUGCUUUCCUUUUCUGGAUCAAUGAUGAGUGAGAGUUUCCAUGAAAGAUGCCAGCCAGAUGCCUGCUCUUAUUCAAGAUUCAAAGGGUACAUCAGUUCUUGGUUUGGUUUUUGAAUCAGAUUGAUAUUCAUAGACGGGUAGUACUCUCUCUCUCUCUCUCUCUCUCUCUCUCUCUCUCUCUCUCUCUCUCUCUCUCUCUCCAUGUAAGGCUCUCCUUUUGAAUUGCAGAUUUUGUGAAAGAAAAAAGAAAAUUAAGUUGAAAUUAAUUUUACUUUCUAUUUUUCUCCAUCUAAAA